GACGAACGCUGGCGGCGUGGAUUAGGCAUGCAAGUCGAACGGUAGGAUCCUUUCGGGGAUCUGAGAGUGGCGAACGGGUGAGUAACACGUAGGUGAUCUACCCUCAAGACGGGGACAACCCAGGGAAACUUGGGCUAAUACCGGAUGUGAGCUAUCGCGAGAUAGUUUGAAAGGUGGCUUCGGCUGCCGCUUGAGGAUGAGCCUGCGUCCUAUUAGCUAGUUGGUGAGGUAACGGCUCACCGAGGCAGUGAUAGGUAGGCGGCCUUAACGGGUGGUCGCCCACACUGGGAUUGAGAUACGGCCCAGACUCCUACGGGAGGCAGCAGUCGAGAAUAGUCUACAAUGGUCGAAAGACUGAUAGUGCGACGCCGCGUGAACGAAGAAGCCCUUCGGGGUGUAAAGUUCUUUUAUAUGUGAGCAGUGACACCCAUAUUAAUAGUAUGGGUGUAGAGAUAUUAGCAUAUGAAUAAGCAACGGCUAACUCCGUG
rnacentral:rRNA from 1 species